rnacentral:rRNA from 1 species
AGAGUUUGAUCAUGGCUCAGGACGAACGCUGGCGGCGUGCUUAACACAUGCAAGUCAAGGGGGCCCAGCAAUGGGCAACCGGCGAACGGGUGCGUAACACGUGAGCAACCUACCGAACUGUGGGGGAUAGCCGGCCUAACGGCCGAGUAAUACCGCAUACGCUUUCAGUGAGGCAUUUCAUUGAAAGGAAACCUACGGGACAGAUCGAGGGGCUCGCGGCCUAUCAGCUAGUUGGCGAGGUAACGGCUCACCAAGGCAACGACGGGUAGCUGGUCUGAGAGGAUGGCCAGCCACAUUGGGACUGAGAUACGGCCCAGACUCCUACGGGAGGCAGCAGUGGGGAAUCUUGCGCAAUGGCCUAACGGCUGACGCAGCGACGCCGCGUGUGGGAUGAAGCUCCUCGGAGUGUAAACCACUGUUGCCCGGGACGAAUAGCUCGAUUAAUCGAGCCUGACGGUACCGGGUGAGGAAGCACCGGCUAACUCCGUGCCAGCAGCCGCGGUAAUACGGGGGGUGCGAGCGUUGUCCGGAAUCACUGGGCGUAAAGGGCGCGUAGGUGGUUUGAUAAGGGUGUGGUGAAAGUCCGGGGCUCAACCCCGGAUCUGCCGUGCCGACUGUCAAACUCGAGGGCUGUAGAGGCAGACGGAAUUCCGGGUGUAGCGGUGGAAUGCGUAGAGAUCCGGAGGAAGACCGGUGGCGAAGGCGGUCUGCUGGGCAGUUUCUGACACUGAUGCGCGACAGCGUGGGGAGCAAACAGGAUUAGAUACCCUAGUAGUCC